rnacentral:misc_RNA from 1 species
GAUGAAGAACGUAGUGAAAUGCGAUAAGUAAUGUGAAUUGCAGAAUUCAGUGAAUCAUCGAAUCUUUGAACGCACAUUGCGCCCGCCAGUAUUCUGGCGGGCAUGCCUGUUCGAGCGUCAUUUCAACCAUCAAGCCCUGCUUGCGUUGGGGUCCUGCGGCUGCCCACAGGCCCUGAAAACCAGUGGCGGGCUCGCUAGUCACACCGAGCGCAGUAAUACAUCUCGCUUUGGGCGUGCGGCGGGUUCUUGCCGUUAAACACCCCCUUUUUACCAAGGUUGACCUCGGAUCAGGUAGGAAUACCCGCUGAACUUAAGCAUAUCAAUAAGCGGAGGA